rnacentral:rRNA from 1 species
GAACGAACGCUGGCGGCAUGCCUACCACAUGCAAGUCGAACGAGACCUUCGGGUCUAGUGGCGCACGGGUGCGUAACGCGUGGGAACCUGCCCUUAGGUUCGGAAUAACUCUCCGAAAGGGGUGCUAAUACCGGAUAAUGUCUUCGGACCAAAGAUUUAUCGCCUUUGGAUGGGCCCGCGUUGGAUUAGCUAGUUGGUAGGGUAAAAGCCUACCAAGGCGACGAUCCAUAGCUGGUCUGAGAGGAGGAUCAGCCACCCUGGGACUGAGACACGGCCCAGACUCCUACGGGAGGCAGCAGUGGGGAAUAUUGGACAAUGGGCGAAAGCCUGAUCCAGCAAUGCCGCGUGAGUGAUGAAGGCCUUAGGGUUGUAAAGCUCUUUUACCCGGGAUGAUAAUGACGGUACCGGGAGAAUAAGCCCCGGCUAACUCCGUU